UAAAGAUAAAAAAAUUGUUUGACUAGUAGCAAUGUAUAGCGACGAUUUCUUCAGAGAAUUCUGAGGAGCUUUCAGAGAAAAUCGAUGGCAGCGUCGAAGCUCCAAGCUCUCUGGAAUCAUCCAGCAGGUCCUAAGACAAUCCAUUUCUGGGCGCCAACGUUCAAGUGGGGUAUAAGCAUUGCUAACAUUGCAGACUUUCAGAAACCUCCAGAGACACUUUCAUACCCUCAACAAAUGGUGAUCACAGCCACUGGACUCAUCUGGUCACGUUACAGCACUGUAGUCACUCCGGUAUGUUGGCUUAAGUACUUCUUCCAAUUUGGGAUUGAUAAGUCUUCUCUUUAUAAAACGAGAGAUACUACUGAAAGUCAUGUUGAUGCAAUUUGUAUACUUCUUUUGCUUUGCUCUUGUACAAAAUUAGCGAGUGGAUUAUACCUGUUUAUCUGAUUUUGUUCCGACCAUUUGUAUACAGAAAAACUGGAACCUCUUUAGCGUUAGUCUUGCUAUGGCAGCGACAGGCAUAUACCAACUUACUCGUAAAUUGGAGCACGAUUAUGUAUCUGAAGCAGAACCAGUUGUUGCAAAAGAAUGAUGAAGAUGAAGCCUUUUGGUGAAUAUAAUUCUCAUGAUGCUCGUAACUGGACGUAAUCUUCCUUGUGUUCUUCUUCCAGAGCCAUUCCCAGAUAUUAUUAUCAUGCCAAGGUUUGAAUCUUUUUGAAUA